AUUGAACGCUGGCGGCAUGCUUUACACAUGCAAGUCGAACGGCAGCGCGGGCUUCGGCCUGGCGGCGAGUGGCGAACGGGUGAGUAAUGCAUCGGAACGUGCCCAGUAGUGGGGGAUAGCCCGGCGAAAGCCGGAUUAAUACCGCAUACGACCUGAGGGUGAACGCGGGGGACCGAAAGGCCUCGCGCUCUUGGAGCGGCCGAUGUCGGAUUAGCUAGUUGGUGGGGUAAAGGCUUACCAAGGCGACGAUCCGUAGCUGGUCUGAGAGGACGACCAGCCACACUGGAACUGAGACACGGCCCAGACUCCUACGGGAGGCAGCAGUGGGGAAUUUUGGACAAUGGGGGCAACCCUGAUCCAGCCAUGCCGCGUGCGGGAAGAAGGCCUUCGGGUUGUAAACCGCUUUUGUUCGGGAAGAAAUCCUCUGGGCUAAUACCCCGGGGGGAUGACGGUACCGGAAGAAUAAGCACCGGCUAACUACGUG
rnacentral:rRNA from 1 species